GCGCUCGGCCUCUGCGUCCCGGGCGCCGCCGCCGCCCCCUGCCCGCCGCCCGGCCAGCGCCAUGAGGACCAAGCAUGUGAACUUGCUGAUCGCCUUCGUCGCCACGGUGCUCUUCAGCUUCUCCUGCUUCUGCAUCUCCAGGUUGACGCAAGCCAAUAAUCAAUUAAUUAAUUGUAGAAACCAUAUAUUGGAGUUCGAAGAUAAUAUACUACGUCUAAAAAACAAAACUGAAAAAAGUAACCAAGAGCUGAUGAAAGCCCUGAAACAAAUAAAGCACGAAAUUACAAAGGGAGACAAUUUGUCAGUAAACUUAGUUAAGAAGAAACUGAGUAAAUUGAGUAAAAAUGAAGCAGUACCUAACACAUUUGAAGACUUAAAGUUCUUUCUUCCUCAUCUAAGGAAAGAAGGCAGAAUUUAUCCUGAUGUAGUCAUAGGCAAAGGGAAAACAGGUGUGUCUUUUGCACUGGGCAUUCCCACUGUCAGCAGAGGAAAUUAUACUUACCUGAAGCAAACACUGACCUCGAUUCUCUCCAGGAUGACACCUUCAGAAGAAAAGGACUCUGUGGUGAUUGUCGCUAUUGCAGAUAGUAAUGAAGAUUAUUUACAAUAUGUUGUUCGCAUGAUUACAAAAAAAUUCAAAAGGCAAGUGAAGUCUGGUUCCUUAGAGGUCAUUUCAAUACCUACCUUUCUUUAUCCAAACAUUUCAAAUGCCAAACAAUUAACUGAGGACUCACAAAAAACUCAAAGUCGGAAAGUCAAACAAGUAUUGGAUUUUUGCAUUUUGAUGCUGUAUGCGCAACCCAAGGCCAUGUAUUAUUUACAGCUAGAAGAUGAUAUCAUAGCUAAAAAGAUGUACCUUACUAAAAUAACAGAUUUUGUACAUAAUAUCACUUCAAAUAAUUGGGUUUAUAUUGAGUUUUCAAUACUUGGAUUCAUAGGAAAGCUGUUUAGAUGUGAGGACUUACCUGGCUUUGUACGUUUUUUUCUAAUGUUUUACAAAGAGCAACCCAUAGACUUGCUCAUGGAAUACAUGUUUCAGAUAAAGAUGUGUGACCCAGUAGAUUCUUUUGAUAACUGCAAAGAACUACAAAAGCAAAUUCGUAUUCAGUAUAAACCUUCUCUUUUCCAGCAUGUGGGUACACAUUCAUCGUUAUCUGGAAAAGAACAACGUUACAACAACCACUUUUCAGAAAUAAUGUCAUAACAAGGAUUAGACUAUUUCUCAACUUUCUUAAUCAACUACAUCAUAUUUUUUAAAAUUAAGCCUUCAACAAUAAAGUGAAAAUAUGAAGAAAAUAAGCAUAACAAGAAGAAACUCUGUAAUACCUUGAACUUCAGAUAACCUUGAUUUCUAAUGGCAUGUUUCAGAAAUUAUAAUAAUGAAAAUAACAUAAUUAUCUACAAGAGAAGUAAACAAUGAACAAAUUAGUAGACUUGAAAGUAUUAAAUGACCUUUUAGGUCAAGAAAAAAUAAAACAUUUAUGAUGUUUGUACCCUAUUACAAUUUAAUUUAAAAAUAGUAAAAGCAGGGAAGUUUUUUAAAAUAAAGAACUAUAGAUAGAAUGACCAUAUUUUAUUGACUUAGAUAGUAUGAACAUAUUUUAUUGACUUUUAUUAUGACCAUCACAUAAUCUCAAUAAAUAGUUGUAAGUUCAGAAAUGUGCCAUUGUCAUAGACAAGUUCUGGGUGAAUUGGUAUAUGCUUUUAUUUAUUUUGUUAAGACAUCUAAAGAAAUAGAAAGCACAAAUUUAAGCAAUGCUGGAUCUGGCAGUGCCGCAGUAUCUUUUUGUCUUUUAAUAAAAGUGUAAACUUACCCCUA